UACGUAGGGGGCUAGCGUUGUCCGGAUUUAUUGGGCGUAAAGAGCGUGUAGGCGGCCAGGUAGGUCUGGUGUGAAAACUCGAGGCUUAACCUCGAGACGCCGGUGGAAACCGUAAAGCUAGAGUCCGGAAGAGGAGAGUGGAAUUCCUGGUGUAGCGGUGAAAUGCGUAGAUAUCGGAAGGAACAUCAGUGGCGAAAGCGGCUUCCUGGACCAGCACCGACGUUCAGGCACGAAAGCGUGGGGAGCAAACAGG
rnacentral:rRNA from 1 species